rnacentral:rRNA from 1 species
GAUGAACGCUGGCUACAGGCUUAACACAUGCGAGUCGAGGGGAAACGUCGGGGACGCUUGCUUCCCCGGGCGUCGACCGGCGCACGGGUGAGUAACGCGUAUCCAACCUGCCUCUGACUGAGGGAUAACCCGUCGCAAGUCGGCCUAAUACCUCAUUGUAUCGUCUGCGGGCAUCCAACGACGAUUAAAGAUUUCAUCGGUCAGGGAAGGGGAUGCGUCUGCUUAGCUUGUUGGCGGGGUAACGGCCCACCAAGGCUACGAUCAGUAGGGGUACUGAGAGGCAGGCCCCCCACAUUGGAACUGAGACCCAGUCCAAACUGGUACGGGAGGCAGCAGUGAGGAAUAUUAGGCGAUGGGCGAGAGCCUGAACCAGCCAAGUAGCGUGCAGGAAGACGGCCCUAUGAGUUGUAAACUGCUUUUAGGCGGGGAUAAAGUGAGGAACGUGUCCCUCAUUGCAGGUACCGAAUGAAUAAGGACCGGCUAAUUCCGUG